UACGUAUGGUGCAAGCGUUAUCCGGAUUUACUGGGUGUAAAGGGAGCGUAGGCGGCGCGUUAAGUCUGAUGUGAAAACCCGAGGCUCAACCACGGGAGUGCAUUGGAAACUGGCGUGCUGGAGUGCCGGAGAGGUAAGCGGAAUUCCUAGUGUAGCGGUGAAAUGCGUAGAUAUUAGGAGGAACACCAGAGGCGAAGGCGGCUUACUGGACGGCAACUGACGCUGAGGCUCGAAAGCGUGGGGAGCAAACAGG
rnacentral:rRNA from 1 species